rfam:Anoxybacillus flavithermus strain 25 c11, whole genome shotgun sequence.
ACAAACAAAAACGACGGAAACCCUACCUCUCUUCCGUCCUUGCAGCUCCGAAGCUGCGCCAGUGAGAAUUUGUUUCGUUGCAUAUAA